AGAGUUUGAUCAUGGCUCAGAGCGAACGUUAGCGGCGGGCUUAACACAUGCAAGUCGAGCGAGAACGGGGCUUCGGCUCCUAGUAAAGCGGCGGACGGGUGAGUAACACGUAGGUAAUCUUCCCUCGAGCGGGGGACAACGUUCCGAAAGGGACGCUAAUACCGCAUACGUUUCCGAAGGCUCUGGCCUUCGGAAGGAAAGCUAGGUAGCAAUAUCCGGCACUCGAGGAGGAGCCUGCGUCGCAUCAGCUAGUUGGUGGGGUAACGGCCUACCAAGGCGAAGACGCGUAGCUGGUCUGAGAGGAUGAUCAGCCACACUGGGACUGAGACACGGCCCAGACUCCUACGGGAGGCAGCAGUGGGGAAUAUUGGACAAUGGGCGCAAGCCUGAUCCAGCCACGCCGCGUGAGUGAUGAAGGCCUUCGGGUCGUAAAGCUCUGUGGGGAGGGACGAACCGCUGUCGGUUAAUACCCGGCAGCAUGACGGUACCUCCUUAGCAAGCACCGGCUAACUUCGUGCCAGCAGCCGCGGUAAUAC
rnacentral:rRNA from 1 species